rnacentral:rRNA from 1 species
UACGGGGGGGGUAAGCGUUGUUCGGAAUUACUGGGCGUAAAGGGCUCGUAGGCGGCCAACUAAGUCAGACGUGAAAUCCCUCAGCUUAACUGGGAAACUGCGUCUGAUACUGGAUGGCUUGGAUUCGGGAGAGGAAUGCGGAAUUCCAGGUGUAGCGGUGAAAUGCGUAGAUAUCAGGAGGAACACCAAUGGCGAAGGCAGCUCGCUGGGACGGUACUGACGCUGAGGAACGAAAGCCAGGGGAGCGAAUGGG